UACGAAGGGGGGCUAGCGUUGUUCGGAAUCACUGGGCGUAAAGCGCACGCAGGCGGAUCGUUAAGUCAGGGGUGAAAUCCCGAGGCUCAACCUCGGAACUGCCUUUGAUACUGGCGAUCUUUGAGUCCGGGAGAGGUGAGUGGAACUCCGAGUGUAGAGGUGAAAUUCGUAGAUAUUCGGAAGAACACCAGUGGCGAAGGCGGCUCACUGGCCCGGUACUGACGCUCAGGUGCGAAAGCGUGGGGAGCAAACAGG
rnacentral:rRNA from 1 species